AUAUUUUAACACAUAUCAAUUUUGAGAUGCAAAUCAGUAUAAUUGCUGCUCGUAGGAUAGACAGUAUUAAAUAUAUACAUUGUGAGACAUUCUGAUCAGGCUACAGGUACUAAUUAUGUAAUUAGGAAAUUAUAGGUUUAAUGAGAAGCACCCAUCUCGGUCAAAAAGGUUAGAAGCUCGACAUUUCUCUAGCUUCUUUAGUUAUACAAAGUUGAGCAGGUCAGGUAACUUCAGUAAUCUCAUCUGUGAAAUGGGAUGACAAUUCCUACUUUAUCCACUUCCUAGCGUUCUGAGGAUCAAGCACAAUUCACAAACGCUUGUAAAACUGGCUCAUGACCAUAAGAAACUAUCGACGGUGUUUCCAUAAUCACUUUCUUGGGAGGAGCACAACUGCCUGCGCUCAGGACUCUGCUCCAAAUACCCUCCCUGGACCCGUAUCAUCCAUGUGCUCUCCCGAUGCUCCUACCACACGACAGCCUCGCCCUGAUCCUCACAUGGGUCCGGACCUCCUUCCUGUCAUUCAGAUCUCAGCUUACCACCCAGAGGCCUUUCCUGACCACCCUGUCAUGCAUGCCCAGUUCUCUGCACAGCACUUAACCUGAAAUUGCACAUGGAUUGUCUGCCAGCAGAGAAUGCAGUCCCACGAGGGCAGCAUCCUUGUCUGUCCCACCCCCCAGUUAUCCCCAACCCUUACAACAGUGUAGGGUACAUAACAGGUGGUUGACAAUGGUUCAAUAAUCAUCAAGAUUAUCCCACCGUAUUUUUCUGUUUCCUGUGAAACACACAAUUCUCCACCUGGUUUUGUGACACAUUGUGGUGAGUUUAAGCUUCUAAGUGGAAAAAAGAGCCAGAUGUAGAUUCUUAUAUUUGUUAGAUCUUGGGCAGGAGCUUCAGUCUAAACUUCAGGUCUAUUAAUAAAAAGUAGAACUGAUACCUCAGAGACUAAGAGGAUUGGGUGAUAAAUGUGACAGUUCAUAUGAGCUGCUCCCUCAUUCUAAUGAUAAAAGGAAGCCCAGGCAAAUUGUUAGCAAGUGAAUACAGACCAGCCUACUGCCCCAAGUUGUAAAGCACCAAUAUUAAACAACAUAUAAAUGCUUUGGUGUUAAGCAGACAAAAUACCAUCACAAUACUUUUAAGAGGGGAAAUCGGUAUUGAACAACGUUGGGUAAUUUUUUAAAACGGAUUUUUUCCUUUUUUAGAUUGUUCUCUUUAUUCUCGUAUUGCUUGGCCUUGAGGAUUCUGAGCUCACAGCAACCUUGUCUUUCGGCUCUUUUCUAGUCUAUAUAUUACAUGAAGUGCCUUCAAACACACAAUAGUAUUGUUUAUUUUAACCUGGAAUAGAAUUUUCUGAAAUUCUGUUCCAAUCAUCAAUUACCCCAAGAUUAUUUUAAAUUUCAAUAAUGACCACAGAAUUGUAUCAUAAUAGAACAGAAAUGUCUUGACUCUUUUAGACAUUUGGGGCUUUUCAGAGACAGUAUCGUGGUUCCAGCACUGUGAGCUCUGAAGUUAGGUGCCCUAGGUUGGAAUUCCAACUCAUGUCCUAAUAGUUACCCUAAUCAACUGCUCAAGUAUGCUAGGUCCUCCCACUUGAAAUACAGGGCUAAUAAAAAUCCCACAAGGUUGUUGGGAAGAUUCAAGAAAAAUUGUGUAGGCACAACGCUCCACAUAUAGUAAAUGUACAAUAACUAAUCUUCGGAAUUUUGCCUCUUCUCAGAAUCUUAGAUGAACGCAAUGUUUAAUGUUUUCCCAGAUACAUUCUAUAUUUAUCAUUUAAUAAACAUCUGACUAGAAGCGUGAAAAACAAUGGCAUAACUAGUUUUUACUGCAUAAUAAUGUUAAAGGGUACUUAAAAGUUCUGAAGAACACUGUCCCAUAUAUGUGAAAAAUCAAUUUUACCAUAAAACCUGAAUCAUAUGAAGUUGAAAACCUGAAAAAAGGACUACCCCCACCUAUCAAUCAUUUGUUUAACUUGCCAUUACAUUGCAUUUGAGUCAGCAUAAUCUUUAUUUCAAAAUAACAUUUUUAUUAUAUAAAAAUGUAAAAAUCCAGCAAAACCAGAAAUACGAAUAUAUU
rnacentral:lncRNA from 10 species